rnacentral:sRNA from 1 species
UGAGUGAAGAAAGAUGUCGUCGUCACUAGAAUUUGACUUUGUUCUCUAUUACAAUGUUCACUAUGCAUUUGCAUCUUUCAAGAACGAAGGUGAUGAUGACGACGAUGUAGUCUAUGAUUACGCUCCGGCUGCAUGAUUCAAUCAUCUACAGUUAUAAAAAUCUUCAUCAUUACGGGAGAGACAGAAGCUUUUCUAGCUACCCAGAUAACCCUAAUUAGUAUAAUUAUAUAGACCAUGUGCGAGUUUGUAGCUAAUCUGGCUUGAGUGUUGUUACUACUUGUAGUUUGUAAUAUCAUAAUAAUAACUAGUGGUAACUAUAUUAUCAUCAUGACCUUUGUUUCCAUUUUUUUUUAUGGCUUAUAUAGUAAACUAGUUAUACCGGACCUAAAAUGUUGAGUUGAGUCUUAUAUAUAUCUUAUCAUUUUUGUUGUGAAAAUCUUAUGUUAAUCGAC